rnacentral:rRNA from 1 species
UACGGAGGGAGCUAGCGUUGUUCGGAAUUACUGGGCGUAAAGCGCACGUAGGCGGCUUUGUAAGUUAGAGGUGAAAGCCUGGAGCUCAACUCCAGAAUUGCCUUUGAUACUGCAUGGCUUGAAUCCAGGAGAGGUGAGUGGAAUUCCGAGUGUAGAGGUGAAAUUCGUAGAUAUUCGGAAGAACACCAGUGGCGAAGGCGGCUCACUGGACUGGUAUUGACGCUGAGGUGCGAAAGCGUGGGGAGCAAACAGG